rnacentral:rRNA from 1 species
UACAGGGGGGGCAAGCGUUGUUCGGAAUUACUGGGCGUAAAGGGCUUGUAGGUGGCCAACUAAGUCAGACGUGAAAUCCCUCGGCUUAACCGGGGAACUGCGUCUGAUACUGGAUGGCUUGAGUUUGGGAGAGGGAUGCGGAAUUCCAGGUGUAGCGGUGAAAUGCGUAGAUAUCUGGAGGAACACCAGAGGCGAAGGCGGCGACCUGGACAGGUACUGACACUCAACUACGAAAGCGUGGGGAGCAAACAGG